rnacentral:rRNA from 1 species
CCAAUAGCGUAUAUUAAAGUUGUUGCAGUUAAAAAGCUCGUAGUUGAAUUUCGGGGUCAGCAAGUUGGUCGUGCCACUGGUAUGUACUGGCUUUGCUGAUUCCUCCUUCUUGUAGAACCGUAAUGCCAUUUAGUUGGUGUUGCGGGGAAACAGGACUGUUACUUUGAAAAAAUUAGAGUGUUUAAAGCAGGCUAACGCCUGAAUACAUUAGCAUGGAAUAAUGAAAUAGGACGAGCGAUCCUAUUUUGUUGGUUUCUAGGAUUGACGUAAUGAUUAAUAGGGAUAGUUGGGGGCAUUAGUAUUCAAUUGUCAGAGGUGAAAUUCUUGGAUUUAUUGAAGACUGACUACUGCGAAAGCAUUUGCCAAGGAUGUUUUCAUUAAUCAAGAACGAAAGUUAGGGGAUCGAAGACGAUCAGAUACCGUCGUAGUCUUAACCAUAAACUAUGCCGACUAGGGAUCGGAUGAUGUUAAUUUUUUAAUGACUCAUUCGGCGCCUUACG